rnacentral:rRNA from 1 species
UACGAAGGGUGCAAGCGUUACUCGGAAUUACUGGGCGUAAAGCGUGCGUAGGUGGUGAGUUAAGUCUGUCGUGAAAGCCCCGGGCUCAACCUGGGAAUGGCGAUGGAUACUGGCUCGCUAGAGUGCGGUAGAGGAGAGUGGAAUUCCCGGUGUAGCAGUGAAAUGCGUAGAUAUCGGGAGGAACACCUGUGGCGAAAGCGGCUCACUGGACCAUAACUGACGCUGAUGCACGAAAGCUGGGGGAGCAAACAGG